AUAUAUAUAUAUAUAUAUAUAUAUAUAUAUAAACAUUACAUUACGUAACAUAUUACUCCUGUGUGAUGAUCUGCAGUUAACAUAUUUUUAGGUUAGAUUUAACUUCAUGUCUUUGACUUGCCUGCGUCUCUUUAACCCGGCUAACCUCUUGCACACAAGCAAAACAACAGUGAUUUACUGUUCUUAGAAUAACACUUACAGAAUUUCCAAUAACAGACAAUCUGCGCAUAACUUCCUCUCUGCAAAAAAAGUAGCAUGUACGUGCAUGCAUAUAUGUAUUUGUUUUCAUAUCUUCUGCCUGUAUCCCCUCGAUUGGGUAUCUAGGAAUGUUAAAAGCAGGAAAGGGUCAUACUUCAGCAAUUCUCGCUCAUUUCUGCACAGAACAGCUACAUUGCCGUGCCAGGUGAAAACCAAAGCACUUCCUGCGCGGGCUCUGUAAUCAUUACUCAGAGACGUUCCAACUCUUUCUGCUAUAAAACACUCCUAUCAAGGUAAGGACGGCCUCUGACCUCCCAGCAGUUGGUCUGUCAGCUGAGUUAUUACUACACACCCCCCGCAGCGUGGUUGUUAGAGCAGGAAGUGCCCAUUCACCAUCACUGUUUGAAGGUGGAUUGGCGAUCUGGGACAUGACAGCUUUUAUUGUGACAGGAAUGUGUGAUCUGGUGGUUUUUAAGUUUAAUCUAGAGGUGAAGAGGCUUUAUCUUAUUGCAUUUUCAAUAACUCAUACGAAUUAGCAUUAGAAUAAUCCUAAAAACGUGAAAACACAGAGGUUAAGCCAACUGCAUUAACUCCUACGCACUCCUACACAUCAAUCUGCAUUUUUCAACUUAUUUUCCCAACUUCUCCUCCCCUUAUUACCUCCUCUGUUCUGUGCCUGGCACUCCAUUUUCUUUGCCUUUAUCUGCAGCUUACAUCAUCUCUUGUCAGUGGAUUAAAACACAAACCCAGAUGUUUCGACAUGCGAAUUAUGGUGACAGGGAAGUAGUUUUGAAAAAUGUACUUGCUAGAAGCUACAUAGAUGGUGUUGUGAGAUUUAAGUGUUGACUGUUGGUAAGUUGAUUGAUAACAUGCCCAACAAUUUCAUUCCUAGAAGUCUUCCCUCAGAGGAAAGGUAUUUUCUUUUAUCUGGCUUUGAUUUAGAGGAGAGUGUACACUGUAAAUUUUAGCUGGCAAAUCCCUGGUUUCACAAUAUUGUUUUGGGGGUGUGAGGUCAUUUAUUAAUUGUGCAAGGAAAGAAAGAACAAACAAGGAAGAAGGGGGAAAAAAGCCAGCUCUAAGGGGGCAUCUCCGGUUGGGCACCGGGGACGAAGUGGUGUUGGGGUGGAACCGGGACAGGCAAAGACAGCUGGGUCAAGCCAGGGUUUUGAUUUGUUUGUUUUGUCUUUUUUUGCUCUUCUUUUUCCUUCAUCCUUGCUUUCUUUGACUUCUUUGCUUUCUCUUGCUUUAGGCCGCCGCCAGACCCUCAGUAUCCUCAAGAGGAAAUAAUUUCUUGUUGCAUUUCACCUUUGUCUUUGUAUAAAGAAAAUACGUUAUAAAAAGUCUCUGUCGUGUGGGUCAAAAAGUGUAGAUUGAUUGAUUGACAGGUUUAUAUUAAAGUUAUUACACAAAGAGUAUUUACAGUUGCCAUGAAACGACUGCACAAACAGUUAAAUGCUCCCUAUAAAUUACAAAGAUAAAAUACAUUUUGAUAUGGACUAAUCUGUGUGUGCGUGUGUACAUACACAACGGUGGUGCUAAAUAAACAGAGCAGGUAAAACAGUAUUACAAAUAUGAAGCCCUAGUUGCAUUUAAAUUGUAUCGGGUGUGAGAUAAAAUGUAGGAAGUGUAACCGGGAGCUUAUUUUUCCUGUAUUCAGAUGAUUGGCAGGUUGUGUAAACAGCCAGUGCCCAUCCUGGCCUCCAGAAGCAAUUACUCACCUCAGCUCACCAGGUUGAAGCCUCAGAAUAAGAAGAAACUGUGUGAAACGUGUUAUGGGCCUCAAGGUCAAAUUUUGGGGCUAUCUGAGUGUGGUUUUGCCCUCUUGCUGACAAUCAGUGGUGGAACGUAACUAAGUACAUUUGCACUUGUACUUUUUAGUCCACUACACUUAUCUGACAGCCAUUACAACAGCUCCACCUAGACCAACUAGAACAGUAAAAUGCUGGUUAUGUGUUAUAUGCAUCUGGAAUAAUAAUGUUCAAACAUUUAUAAUUGAAUAGUCGCAAUAAAUGACUACUUUUACUUA